rnacentral:tRNA from 1 species
GGGCGAUUAGCUCAGUUGGUAGAGCGCAUGCUUCACAUGCAUGAGGCCAGAGGUUCGAGUCCUCUAUCGCCCA